rnacentral:rRNA from 1 species
UACGGGGGGGGCAAGCGUUGUUCGGAAUUACUGGGCGUAAAGGGCUCGUAGGUGGCCAACUAAGUCAGACGUGAAAUCCCUCGGCUUAACCGGGGAACUGCGUCUGAUACUGGAUGGCUUGAGUUUGGGAGAGGGACGCGGAAUUCCAGGUGUAGCGGUGAAAUGCGUAGAUAUCUGGAGGAACACCGGUGGCGAAGGCGGCGUCCUGGUUGGAUACUGACGCUGAUACGCGAAAGCGUGGGGAGCAAACAGG